rfam:Ornithorhynchus anatinus chromosome 4, whole genome shotgun sequence.
CCCCUCUCAGGGUUGCACCUGGAGAGUUUCCAAAUACUCUACCAGUCUCAGCUAUGGGAGGGAGAGUCAAACAGAGGCAUACCCAUUCCAUUCUUAGCUUGGGCAGUGGCUAGUGAGUGGAAGGCCAUCUGCUACAAGU